CAUACAUUGUGUGUAUACCUCUGUAUGAGGGUGUCACCAUAGAGUGUGUAUACCUCUGUAUGAAGGUGUCACCAUACAUAGUGUGUGUAUACCUCUGUAUGAAGGUGUCACCAUACAUAGUGUGUGUUUACCUCUGUAUGAUGGUCUCACCAUACAUAGAGUGUUUACCUCUGUAUGAUGGUCUCACCAUACAUAGUUUGUUAAUUCCUUAAAAGGAUAUUACCUCACAAUGUCAUACUAUAUAUGGGCAUACCUCCUUAUGUUUGUGAAAAACUGUAAUUUCAAAAUCACGUGUAUUCUAUAUUUAAACCGAAUUACCACAUUGUAACCCUGCUCAGUAGUUAAAAACGAUAUUUUCAUGUAAAAAUGCCUUUGGUAAAGUGUUGACCUCGUGAGGUUGAUCUCAAAACUGGUACCUCCCCAUGUAAGGUAGACCGGUAGGUGUGUGUGUGGGUGUGUGUGUGUGUGUGUGUG